rnacentral:rRNA from 1 species
ACUCAAAUGAAUUGACGGGGACCUGCACAAGCGGUGGAGCGUGCGGUUUAAUUCGUCAGUAAGCGAAGAACCUUACCAAGGCUUGACAUCUCUGGAACCCCUAAGAAACUAGGGGGUGCCGAAAGGAGCCAGAUGACAGAUGCUGCACGGUUGUCGUCAGCUCGUGCUGUGAAGUGUCCCGUUCAGUCGGUUAACGAGCGCAACCCUUAUCCUGUGUUUCAUGUGUCACAGGAAACUGCCCUGGUCAACAGGGAGGAAGGUGAGGAUGAUGUCAAAUCAGCGUGGCUCUUACGCCUUGGGCCACACGCGCGCUACAAUGGGGUGUAACAAUGGGUUGCCAACUCGCGAGAGGGAGCUAAUCCCACCAAACCACCCCCCAGUUCGGAUUGGAGGCUGAAAUUCGCCUCCAUGAAGUUGGAAUCGCUAGUAACGGCCAAUCAGCUAUGUGGCCGUGAAUACGUUCUCAGGUCUUGUACACACCGCCCGU